rnacentral:rRNA from 1 species
UUGAUCCUGGCUCAGGACGAACGCUGGCGGCGUGCCUAAUACAUGCAAGUCGAGCGGACAGAAGGGAGCUUGCUCCCGGAGUUAGCGGCGGACGGGUGAGUAACACGUGGGUAACCUGCCUGUAAGACUGGGAUAACUCCGGGAAACCGGAGCUAAUACCGGAUAGUUCCUUGAACCGCAUGGUUCAAGGAUGAAAGACGGUUUCGGUGUCACUUACAGAUGGACCCGCGGCGCAUUAGCUAGUUGGUGGGGUAAUGGCUCACCAAGGCGACGAUGCGUAGCCGACCUGAGAGGGUGAUCGGCCACACUGGGACUGAGACACGGCCCAGACUCCACGGGAGGCAGCAGUAGGGAAUCUUCCGCAAUGGACGAAAGUCUGACGGAGCAACGCCGCGUGAGUGAUGAAGGUUUUCGGAUCGUAAAGCUCUGUUGUUAGGGAAGAACAAGUGCGAGAGUAACUGUCGCACCUUGACGGUACCUAACCAGAAAGCCACGGCUAACUACGUGCCAGCAGCCGCGGUAAUACGUAGGUGGCAAGCGUUGUCCGGAAUUAUUGGGCGUAAAGGGCUCGCAGGCGGUUUCUUAAGUUGAUGUGAAAGCCCCCGGCUCAACCGGGGAGGGUCAUUGGAAACUGGGAAACUUGAGUGCAGAAGAGGAGAGUGGAAUUCCACGUGUAGCGGUGAAAUGCGUAGAGAUGUGGAGGAACACCAGUGGCAAGGCGACUCUCUGGUCUGUAACUGACGCUGAGGAGCGAAAGCGUGGGGAGCGAACAGGAUUAGAUACCCUGGUAGUCCACGCCGUAAACGAUGAGUGCUAAGUGUUAGGGGGUUUCCGCCCCUUAGGCUGCAGCUAACGCAUAAGCACUCCGCCUGGGGAGUACGGUCGCAAGACUGAAACUCAAAGGAAUUGACGGGGGCCCGCACAAGCGGUGGAGCAUGUGGUUUAAUUCGAAGCAACGCGAAGAACCUUCCAGGUCUUGACAUCCUCUGACAACCCUAGAGAUAGGGCUUUCCCUUCGGGGACAGAGUGACAGGUGGUGCAUGGUUGUCGUCAGCUCGUGUCGUGAGAUGUUGGGUUAAGUCCCGCAACGAGCGCACCCUUGAUCUUAGUUGCCAGCAUUCAGUUGGGCACUCUAAGGUGACUGCCGGUGACAAACCGGAGGAAGGUGGGGAUGACGUCAAAUCAUCAUGCCCCUUAUGACCUGGGCUACACACGUGCUACAA